UACACUCCUACGGGAGGCAGCAGUGGGGAAUAUUGGACAAUGGGCGCAAGCCUGAUCCAGCCAUGCCGCGUGAGUGAUGAAGGCCCUAGGGUUGUAAAGCUCUUUCACCGGAGAAGAUAAUGACGGUAUCCGGAGAAGAAGCCCCGGCUAACUUCGUGCCAGCAGCCGCGGUAAUACGAAGGGGGCUAGCGUUGUUCGGAAUUACUGGGCGUAAAGCGCACGUAGGCGGAUCGAUCAGUCAGGGGUGAAAUCCCAGGGCUCAACCCUGGAACUGCCUUUGAUACUGUCGAUCUGGAGUAUGGAAGAGGUGAGUGGAAUUCCGAGUGUAGAGGUGAAAUUCGUAGAUAUUCGGAGGAACACCAGUGGCGAAGGCGGCUCACUGGUCCAUUACUGACGCUGAGGUGCGAAAGCGUGGGGAGCAAACAGGAUUAGAAACCCCAGUAGUCCC
rnacentral:rRNA from 1 species